AUGAACAUGCUUCAAAGUUCUAAACUUAAUGAAAAUUUUUGCGCCCCCCAACAAUUCCUAAUCAUUUCACCCAAUUAUUAUCAAUUGCCCCAUUGCAAUCUAUGCAAUUCCAUAGGGGCUCAAUUUGACUUCUGUAAGGCUUUUCAUUAUAGGAUUUUGUUUGUAAGGCAUAAAUUAAAUUAAUAUCAACAGUGACUUUAUAACUUGGAUUUUCUUCUUUUAGAAAUCUUAAACAUAGGGGAAAAAAACCUUAUUUACUGCUUAAACAUAGAAAUUUAAUGCCAUUGAUAGAAAAACAAAAUAUCUUAUAUACUGGCUAGUACCAGUGUUUUAAAAAUUUGUCCUAGACUAAAUGAGUCAGUUUCAACAAUCGGUUUGGAUCACUCUGAUUUGGUUUUUCUGUUUAACUUUCAUUUUAUUUUUCAACUAUAAAAAAAACCCACUGAUAUAUUAAGUUCAUAUAAUUUUAAAAUUAUAUUUUUCCAGUUCUUGACUAAAUCAACUCGGUUGAAUCAAUCAGACCA
rnacentral:misc_RNA from 1 species